UUCAAUAGCAUGCUUUGAAUGAAAUAGGCAUGAGUUCUAGCAUUUGGAACUAAAUGAUGAAACGCCUUCUAAGUAAUAACCAAGCAAAGAAUAAUGAGAUCAUGCAACGACUUUAGAAAACAAGAAUGCACAGAUUUUAACUCUCCAAAUAACCGUUUAGGCUCAAGUCUCACAAGGUUGUAGCGUUAGUUUGAGUUCCUUCCUUCAAGCAUGUUACAAAAACUAAUUUUUUUUUUCUUUAUGAUUACAUGUGAAUUCAUAAGUUAUAACCACAACCAAGCAUAAACCAAAGAGUAAAUCAAACUUUCAUCCAUGUUUAUAACUCUCUUUAACAGUCAUGCAAUUAAAAACCGAAUCCUCAUCAUUGUGUUGGAAGGUACCCUAAGACACAAACAAACACACAAAAACAACUUAAAAACGACUCUUUUUGGGUUUUUUAAAACAAAUUUUCAAAUUUUUAUGGGAUUUUCGGAUUUUUGAAUCAAAACACAUUAAAACACACCAAAACAGCCUAAAAACACCUAAAAACAGCAAGAAACAACAUUAGAAAUUAAUGGGUGAGAAACCCUACGAAUUUGCAUCAAAACACUUUGGUUACCCCCCCACACUUAAACUAAACAUUGUCCUCAAUGUUUUAAGCAUAGACUCACACAAAAACACAUAAACAAAUACUAACAACCGAACAUGGCAGAAACGAAAUAAACAACAAAGAGAAGGGUUUAGGAACGCAAAUCUGGAAUUGGAGUGCUCUCUAGGUCUUCCUUUGUCGAAUGCAUGGGUUGCCUCCCAAGAAGUGCUUGCUUUAACGUCUUCCAGCCGGACGGUACCUCCGUUUAAGCUUGACUAUGUGCCACGGCAUGGAGGGGUACCUCCUCCACGACAUGC
rnacentral:lncRNA from 1 species